UAUCCUCAAGGAAGACGGUAAACCCUCAAAUCCAAAUUAUGUUUGCUUAUCUGAUUUCUCUUUCUGAAAACAUAGUGAAUUAGCCACCGAUUCUGCAAUCUUUGAUUAUUGAUCAUCUUAGCAUCUAAGCACGAGAAGAGGCUGAAAAGGCCAAAGAAGGUGAUGGAUCCACAACACUUUCAAUGAGUGGAAGAUGAUUUGGUUAAAUGGGAUUGUUCUUGUUUGGAAAAAGGAGAGAAAUAGAGAGCUAUUGAUGGCAGUAAGAGUUGGUGACUAAAAUGGCAAGGUUCGUGCUUGGAGGGUGGUUGAAAAAUUGUCUCAACAAAAUCCCUUGUGAUUUGAAGGAGCUAAUGCACAGAUUCUUCUGCAACAUUUUUGUAGUAUGUUUUAACUGGCAGUACUCAGUUCUAGCCAUCACGGGGGUUGAACAUCUAAAAUGUUGGCUCAACUGAGGGAAGAGUUGGUGUCCAUCAUUUGGAUUUGGAUGAUUCUCAGCAAGAGAAAAACUUCACCUUCAAAUGUAUAGAAUUCUUGCUGCGAUUGAAG